UCACAAGGUUGAAGAGAGAAAAAGAGCCUUCCUCUUAUUUAAGCUACGGAUUCAACCAUUGUAGGGUUCAACCAGCGAAGAUCAACUUCGAGUGUUGCAUUCCUUUGGAGGAACACUUCAUUAGUGUGUUCUAGGUGAGCAUACUUAGGGAUUGUACACUCUACGAAGAGGGACUAAAGAUUUGGUAAUUCUAUACAAGAAACCAAGACGAUAGAGCAUGUGAGUGGGUGGAUUGCACAAAAGGCCAGGAGCAGGAGGCUGCCGACGAUGAUACAUGAUAGUUUUAUUUUAUUUUACUUAUAAGAAGAAGCAUUAAUUUAUAUUAUGAUGAGA